CGGACUGUGCCCAAGAGAAUCAAAUUUCCAGCCAUUCAGUGGACAUUUAAGUUUGUUUCUGUUUGCAUGGAAAGCUAGCAACUGCCUGCAGCAGCUCUCCAGAAAUUAGAAGCAAAGGCUCGUGAGCUCGGCAAACAUUCUCCAUGGUUAUGGAAGCCUUGUGCUAAUGAAGCCUGUGUGGCGUAAGUCUGCAAAGUCAGAGGACCGGGUGUUCUUCACACUCUCUGCUGCCACGCCUCCUUAAGCCCUGACGCCCAGCCUCCCCUGGGGAUCUGUGUGGCCGCCUGACCCUCUUCUCCACAUUCUGAGGAAAGAGGACUUAACACGGCUGGCCUUUCAGAGCAGAGGGUCUCCCCCACAGCAGGCCCUCACUGAAGAAGUGCUAAUUCGACUUCCUGAGUUCCAGCCUUAGCCUCCUGCGAGGUCAACGGACUCAGGGUGAAGAAGCCCCAGUGGAUACAGAGAGCAUAUUCCUGAUUAGGGAGCUUUACAAGCGGCCUGCAAAAGAAAAGGCAAAACUCCCAGCCUCUGUUUCAGAGAAGACAUCUCCGUCCAUCGUUUGGGGCUGAAUAAGCUACCUUCCUGGAUCACUUUUCUGAACAGCCGUGCCUUGGAAGGGGGCCUGAGCUGGACACCAGGGGACCUGGUGCUUUCACAGCCCUGCUGAGGAUUAGCUGUCUGACCUUGGAAAAGUCCUUUAAUCUCUUGGGGCUUCAGUUUCCUCUCCACUUAAUCUCUGAGGAACUUUCCAGUUCAAAAAUUAUUCUAUGACAGCAUUAUGCUUAAAGGAAAAGCAUUCUUGUGGACUUCCAACACAGUCUAUACCAAAACUGAUAUAUAAUAAUGUACACCUGAAAUUACACAAUGUUAUAAACCAAUAUGACCUCAACAAAAUAAAAAAUAAAAUAAAAUUAUAACAAAAAAAUUACUUAAAUACACAAACUUAGAACUAGAUAUAAACUCCUCAUGCAAAUAAUUUUAGAGAUUUGAAACAAGCAAAACAAUGAAUCCAAUAUAUUUUAAUCAGUAUACAUCAUUAUUAAAUUUUGAUUACUUUUGCUCAUUAAUAAUUGACAUUAUUAAUUCAAUGUGAUGGAUAAUACCAGUUUGCUGGAUCUAAAUUGCUGCUCACACCUGGACUAUAAUUUUCCAGAGCACGGCAUUCUAUUUGAUGACUCAGUUCUCCCGUCAUUCUCUCCCUUUGAACUAUUGUGAAAUUUUCUUCCAGCCAUGGCAUCAUUUGGCCUUUACUUUGGAAGAAUACACUGUUUACAUAUUCUAUCCUCCUUUGCUCUUUUCUCCUGAGCCUAAAAUGAUUAAAGCUACAUGGCACCCAAGGACACCACAAUCAGUGCCAAAGCUUCAUAAGGGGUCAUCCAAAUGAUCUCCAAAGUGGUUACAUUAGCAUUUUUGUUAGGUUAUUGUUGAAAUAAAAACACAAGAAUUUUAAUUUCUCAUAAAUUCACAAUUGUCUGGGAUCUCAGUUUGAGAAUGCUGUCUUAUGACUUCGCAGUGCCCGCAUGCUACCUCCUCGGAAGGACAGGACACAUGCAUCAGGCCCUCAGUUCUUCUAGAGCGUUUUGGAGAUGAGGAUGUAGAGCACAAGACCCAAUAUGUUUGCAAACAUUAUCAGAUGCAAGGUGAUGCCCAGAAAAGAAAAACUCGUGCUCACUCUUGCAGAAAUCCAAUCCCAUUCUCUGCUUUCCAAGAGAUUUAAGUAAGGAAAUAGGUCAGGAAGGUCCAAAGACCUAAAGGAGUAUUACUACAGUGGGACAAAUGCAGCCUGAGACCCACCUCUUGGGCUCCAGAGGGGCAGUCUCUUUGAUUUUAUGCAGGCUGCUGCCAUAGAAAAGGCUCAAGAGACUCAAAGGCACAAAGAGAAGCUAAUGGUGGCCAUUGUGAAAUAUGCUCCCGGGAGAGUGGAUAGCCUUCAUGACUGAGUUCAAGUUCGGCAAUCUCCAGAAACAUGAAGGAGCAGCCUACAGUACACAGGAACGCCAUCAGCACACAUGAGGUAAGGCUGACCUUCACGGUGCAGUCCAAACCCUGACACCCCAUGGUCAGAACAAUGUGAAGGUAGUGAUCUCGUGCUAAGGCACAGGAAGGUGAACUUGACAUAGAAAUUCUUCAUGACACAGAAGCCAACCACCUCACAAGAAGCCCAGAGUUCACUGUUGGCCCAUUAGGCUAGAGUGGAUGCAGUAUGAAACUAUCAGGCUCUGUGGGAGUUUGGCCACUGUCACAGAGAAGCAGAGAACAUUCCUUACCCUGCACUGGUGGAGGAGAAUUCGGAGGGCCAGACCAGGUGCCAACACUAGGGAUAACAUGGACACUGACAAGGUCUUGCAACUCCCAAAUUUUAUGGAGUAGUUGAAAACCUGGGAGGCAUGUGUUUUCAGAAAUAUUGGGUGGGGUCUUUUUCUUAUCAAGAAUAGGCUUCUUUCUUUAAGGUCUACUUCCUACCUCUUUCCUGUUGAAAUCCCUGUCCAGAAAGGCACAGAUCAAUUGUGGUAAUUGCUGCAAAGGCGAAAAAAAGAAAAAUCAAGGAUAUUAAAAUAAAGCCUGGAAUGGAACAUUAUUGAAAAGCCCCUGGGUCAUCCUUUCUUUUUAUUUUAAAUAAACUUUUUAUUUUGAGAUAAUUAUAGAUUCACAAGCGGGGUUGUAAGACAUAAAACGGUUAGAUUCCGUGUACCCAUUACCCAGUUUCCCUCAAAGGUAACACCUUGCAAAACCAUAGCACAAUAUAAAAACCAUGGUAUUGACAUGGAUACAGUCAAGAUACAGAACGUCUCCAUCACCACAAGGAUCCUUCGUGUUGAGCCUUCAUAGCCACACCCACUUCCCUCUCUGCCAACUACUGCUCUCUUCUCCAUUUCUACAAUUUUGCCAUUUCGAGAAUGUUAUAUUAAUGGAAUCGUGCAGUAUGUAACCUUUUGGGAUUGGCUUUUAUCCCACAGCAUAAUUCCCUGGAGAUAUAUCCCAG